rnacentral:pre_miRNA from 14 species
UUCUAUAAACUGAAAGAUCCCAUGCAGAGAGACCCUUACUCAAGUCUUGGGAAAUCGCGGACCCCAGACACAGAGAGACCA